GACGUAGGGCGCGAGCGUUGUCCGGAUUUAUUGGGCGUAAAGAGCUCGUAGGCGGCUUGUCGCGUCGUCCGUGAAAACCCACAGCUCAACUGUGGGCCUGCGGUCGAUACGGGCAGGCUAGAGUUCGGUAGGGGAGACUGGAAUUCCUGGUGUAGCGGUGAAAUGCGCAGAUAUCAGGAGGAACACCGGUGGCGAAGGCGGGUCUCUGGGCCGAUACUGACGCUGAGGAGCGAAAGCGUGGGGAGCGAACAGG
rnacentral:rRNA from 1 species